rnacentral:rRNA from 2 species
UUAAAUUGAAGAGUUUGAUCAUGGCUCAGAUUGAACGCUGGCGGCAGGCCUAACACAUGCAAGUCGAACGGUAACAGGAAGAAGC